rnacentral:rRNA from 1 species
UACGUAGGGCGCAAGCGUUGUCCGGAAUUAUUGGGCGUAAAGAGCUCGUAGGCGGUCUGUUGCGUCCGCUGUGAAAACCCGGGGCUUAACCCCUGGCUUGCAGUGGAUACGGACAGACUAGAGGUAGGUAGGGGAGAAUGGAAUUCCCGGUGUAGCGGUGAAAUGCGCAGAUAUCGGGAGGAACACCGGUGGCGAAGGCGGUUCUCUGGGCCUUACCUGACGCUGAGGAGCGAAAGCGUGGGGAGCGAACAGG